ACCCUAAGUGCUCCCAAUCUUGUCUGAUCUUGGAAGUUAAGCAGGGUC
rnacentral:rRNA from 1 species